GAUAACAGGCUGAUCUCCCCCAAGAGCUCAUAUCGACGGGGGGGUUUGGCACCUCGAUGUCGGCUCGUCACAUCCUGGGGCUGGAGAAGGUCCCAAGGGUUGGGCUGUUCGCCCAUUAAAGUGGCACGCGAGCUGGGUUCAGAACGUCGUGAGACAGUUC
rnacentral:ncRNA from 1 species